rnacentral:pre_miRNA from 1 species
ACCACCCAGGGAUCUUGUUAAAAUGCAGAUUCCCAUUCAGCAGGUCUGGGGCGGGCCUGAGACUCUGCAUUUCUAACAAACUGCCAGGUGACGCUGA